AAACUGCGGCUAAUUUAAAUCUUAUCUUUCUAUAGUCUAUCUUCUGACUGGGAAAGUCCUACAAAGAUAAACAUUUCCUACUGUGCAAUAAGGCUUGCUAUAAAUGUUGUCUUGUGUUUGGAUCGUAUAGAUAGAACUGGUUUCAUUCACACCACAACACUGUACGAUAGACGACAGCAAAAUGGGCAAGCUAUUGAUUUGUACAGCAAUAGUUUUUCUCGCCAUCAGCCUGAGCAUGGCGGCCCCUGCGGUCACAGAUCCAUGUCGCGGUGAGGCACUGAACGCCACGAUGGUCAGGUGCAUGACAGAGAACGGUUUCACUA
rnacentral:sRNA from 1 species